AGAGUUUGAUCCUGGCUCAGAUUGAACGCUGGCGGCAUGCCUUACACAUGCAAGUCGAACGGCAGCACGAGAGCUUGCUCUUGGUGGCGAGUGGCGAACGGGUGAGUAAUAUAUCGGAACGUACCCUAGAGUGGGGGAUAACGUAGCGAAAGUUACGCUAAUACCGCAUACGAUCUACGGAUGAAAGUGGGGGAUCGCAAGACCUCAUGCUCAUGGAGCGGCCGAUAUCUGAUUAGCUAGUUGGUGGGGUAAAAGCUCACCAAGGCGACGAUCAGUAGCUGGUCUGAGAGGACGACCAGCCACACUGGAACUGAGACACGGUCCAGACUCCUACGGGAGGCAGCAGUGGGGAAUUUUGGACAAUGGGCGCAAGCCUGAUCCAGCAAUGCCGCGUGAGUGAAGAAGGCCUUCGGGUUGUAAAGCUCUUUUGUCAGGGAAGAAACAGUGGACUCUAAUACAGAUCACUAAUGACGGUACCUGAAGAAUAAGCACCGGCUAACUACGUGCCAGCAGCCGCGGUAAUACGUAGGGUGCAAGCGUUAAUCGGAAUUACUGGGCGUAAAGCGUGCGCAGGCGGUUGUGCAAGACAGAUGUGAAAUCCCCGGGCUCAACCUGGGAAUUGCAUUUGUGACUGCACGGCUAGAGUGUGUCAGAGGGGGGUAGAAUUCCACGUGUAGCAGUGAAAUGCGUAGAGAUGUGGAGGAAUACCGAUGGCGAAGGCAGCCCCCUGGGAUAACACUGACGCUCAUGCACGAAAGCGUGGGGAGCAAACAGGAUUAGAUACCCUGGUAGUCCACGCCCUAAACGAUGUCUACUAGUUGUCGGGUCUUAAUUGACUUGGUAACGCAGCUAACGCGUGAAGUAGACCGCCUGGGGAGUACGGUCGCAAGAUUAAAACUCAAAGGAAUUGACGGGGACCCGCACAAGCGGUGGAUGAUGUGGAUUAAUUCGAUGCAACGCGAAAAACCUUACCUACCCUUGACAUGUCUGGAAUCCUUGAGAGAUCAGGGAGUGCUCGAAAGAGAAUCAGAGCACAGGUGCUGCAUGGCUGUCGUCAGCUCGUAUCGUGAGAUGUUGGGUUAAGUCCCGCAACGAGCGCAACCCUUGUCAUUAGUUGCUACGAAAGGGCACUCUAAUGAGACUGCCGGUGACAAACCGGAGGAAGGUGGGGAUGACGUCAAGUCCUCAUGGCCCUUAUGGGUAGGGCUUCACACGUCAUACAAUGGUACAUACAGAGGGCCGCCAACCCGCGAGGGGGAGCUAAUCCCAGAAAGUGUAUCGUAGUCCGGAUUGUAGUCUGCAACUCGACUACAUGAAGUUGGAAUCGCUAGUAAUCGCGGAUCAGCAUGUCGCGGUGAAUACGUUCCCGGGUCUUGUACACACCGCCCGUCACACCAUGGGAGCGGGUUUCACCAGAAGUGGGUAGCCUAACCGCAAGGAGGGCGCUCACCACGGUGGGAUUCGUGACUGGGGUGAAGUCGUAACAAGGUA
rnacentral:rRNA from 1 species